ACUCCUACGGGAGGCAGCAGUGGGGAAUAUUGCACAAUGGGCGCAAGCCUGAUGCAGCCAUGCCGCGUGUGUGAAGAAGGCCUUCGGGUUGUAAAGCACUUUCAGUCGUGAGGAAGGUAGUGUAGUUAAUAGCUGCAUUAUUUGUACGUUAGCGACAGAAGAAGCACCGGCUAACUCCGUGCCAGCAGCCGCGGUAAUACGGAGGGUGCGAGCGUUAAUCGGAAUUACUGGGCGUAAAGCGCAUGCAGGUGGUUUGUUAAGUCAGAUGUGAAAGCCCGGGGCUCAACCUCGGAAUAGCAUUUGAAACUGGCAGACUAGAGUACUGUAGAGGGGGUAGAAUUUCAGGUGUAGCGGUGAAAUGCGUAGAGAUCUGAAGGAAUACCGGUGGCGAAGGCGGCCCCCUGGACAGAUACUGACACUCAGAUGCGAAAGCGUGGGGAGCAAACAGGAUUAGAUACCCUGGUAGGACAGUG
rnacentral:rRNA from 1 species